CCAAAUGUCUUGUCAAAGAAAAGACAAGUAUUAAGAUCAAAGUUGACAUUACCUAGAUCUUGUGUAAGUUUACUAAUAGACAUGAGGCUAGAGGUUAACAUAAGUACAUUUUUCAGAACGAUGUCUGGUGAUAAUUAGAUAUUUCUUAGUUCAAUAAUUGUGACAGAAGAUCCUCCAAUUGUGGUGAUUUUUCUAUUACUAGGAAAAGGGGCAUAGGAGUUGAACAAAUGAGAGGUAUAGGUUAUGUGGUCUGUGGCACCUGAAUCCGCUAUCUAGAGUGAAGGUUUACUAUUUAUAUAAGCACUAAAUCUAGUAAAAGUAAGAGACUUUCUUGAACAAGCAAGUGCCAAUGAGGCUUCCAUGCUAACUUGCUUUUGAUCUGAGGUAAUAUUUUCUUCUGGUUGUGCCACAGUGAAAUGGACUUGGUCUCCUACCCUUUGUUAUCCCUUUACAUGAUGUGGAGGCCUCCGAUGUAGCUUAUUACAUCUAUCAAUUGUGUGACUCGGUUUUCUGCGGUAGGUACACCACAUCGUGUCUUGAAAGUCACUACUAUGAGUCUUUUCUAAUCUUGGAGAUCGACCUCUGAAUUUUGUAUUAUUGCUGUUAUAAUUUUUUCCACCUUUAGCCACAAAUGCUGAACUAUCCAUAUUUCCAGAACCAAGCAUCAAAUUUCAACUUUCUUCUUCCAUAAUUAAGGAGAUUACUUCAUUUAGAGGAGGUAACUUUUNNNNNNNNNNNNNNNNNNNNACCUCUGAAUUUUGUAUUAUUGCUGUUAUAAUUUUUUCCACCUUUAGCCACAAAUGCUGAACUAUCCAUAUUUCCAGAACCAAGCAUCAAAUUUCAACUUUCUUCUUCCAUAAUUAAGGAGAUUACUUCAUUUAGAGGAGGUAACUUUUCCCUUCCUAGGAUUUGAAUUCU
rnacentral:lncRNA from 1 species